rnacentral:rRNA from 1 species
GAUGAACGCUGGCGGCGUGCCUAAUACAUGCAAGUCGAGCGAACAGACGAGGAGCUUGCUCCUUCGACGUUAGCGGCGGACGGGUGAGUAACACGUGGGUAACCUACCUAUAAGACUGGGAUAACUUCGGGAAACCGGAGCUAAUACCGGAUAAUAUUUCGAACCGCAUGGUUCGAUAGUGAAAGAUGGCUUUGCUAUCACUUAUAGAUGGACCUGCGCCGUAUUAGCUAGUUGGUAAGGUAACGGCUUACCAAGGCAACGAUACGUAGCCGACCUGAGAGGGUGAUCGGCCACACUGGAACUGAGACACGGUCCAGACUCCUACGGGAGGCAGCAGUAGGGAAUCUUCCGCAAUGGGCGAAAGCCUGACGGAGCAACGCCGCGUGAGUGAUGAAGGUCUUCGGAUCGUAAAACUCUGUUAUUAGGGAAGAACAAACGUGUAAGUAACUGUGCACGUCUUGACGGUACCUAAUCAGAAAGCCACGGCUAACUACGUGCCAGCAGCCGCGGUAAUACGUAGGUGGCAAGCGUUAUCCGGAAUUAUUGGGCGUAAAGCGCGCGUAGGCGGUUUUUUAAGUCUGAUGUGAAAGCCCACGGCUCAACCGUGGAGGGUCAUUGGAAACUGGAAAACUUGAGUGCAGAUGAGGAAAGUGGAAUUCCAUGUGUAGCGGUGAAAUGCGCAGAGAUAUGGAGGAACACCAGUGGCGAAGGCGACUUUCUGGUCUGUAACUGACGCUGAUGUGCGAAAGCGUGGGGAUCAAACAGGAUUAGAUACCCUGGUAGUCCACGCCGUAAACGAUGAGUGCUAAGUGUUAGGGGGUUUCCGCCCCUUAGUGCUGCAGCUAACGCAUUAAGCACUCCGCCUGGGGAGUACGACCGCAAGGUUGAAACUCAAAGGAAUUGACGGGGACCCGCACAAGCGGUGGAGCAUGUGGUUUAAUUCGAAGCAACGCGAAGAACCUUACCAAAUCUUGACAUCCUUUGACCCUUCUAGAGAUAGAAGUUUCCCCUUCGGGGGACAAAGUGACAGGUGGUGCAUGGUUGUCGUCAGCUCGUGUCGUGAGAUGUUGGGUUAAGUCCCGCAACGAGCGCAACCCUUAAGCUUAGUUGCCAUCAUUAAGUUGGGCACUCUAAGUUGACUGCCGGUGACAAACCGGAGGAAGGUGGGGAUGACGUCAAAUCAUCAUGCCCCUUAUGAUUUGGGCUACACACGUGCUACAAUGGACAAUACAAAGGGCAGCGAAACCGCGAGGUCAAGCAAAUCCCAUAAAGUUGUUCUCAGUUCGGAUUGUAGUCUGCAACUCGACUACAUGAAGCUGGAAUCGCUAGUAAUCGUAGAUCAGCAUGCUACGGUGAAUACGUUCCCGGGUCU